UCGCCUGUUUUAACAAAAACAUUGCUUAUAGAAUUAAUUUAUUAUAAGUAAAACCUGCUCAAUGGAAUAGUUCUUAAUAGCCGCAAUUUUUCUGUGCUAAGGUAGCAUAAUCAUUUGUUUUUUAAUUAAAAUCUAGAAUGAAAGGUUUAACAUUUAAAUCUCUAUAUUUUGAAUAUUUUACGAAAUUAUAUUAAAUAUAAAAAUAUAUUUAUAAAAAAAUCAGACGAUAAGACCCUAUUGAAUUUUACUUAUGUUUAGCUGGGGCAGCUACUAAAUUAAAAUUUUCAGUUUAUAUUAAAUUAAAUUAUCCAAUAAAAUUGAAUUUUGAUCAAAUUACCAUAGGGAUAACAGCGUAAUUUUUAUUCAAAGUUCUUAUUUAAAUAAAAGUUUGCGACCUCGAUGUUGAAUUAAAUUUCCUUAAUUUCGCAAUAGAAAUUCAAGUAGGUCUGUUCGACCUUUAAAAAUUUACAUGAUUUGAGUUCAAACCGGUGUAAACCAGGUUGGUUUCUAUCUUUUUUCAUUAUUUUCUAGUACGAAAGGACAAAAAAUAAUAUUUUAAAUAAUAAAUUGGCAGAAAAAUGCAUUAGAAUUAGAAUCUAAAUUA
rnacentral:rRNA from 1 species